rnacentral:rRNA from 1 species
GCGUGAGUGAUGAAGGCCUUAGGGUUGUAAAGCUCUUUCGGCGGGGACGAUGAUGACGGUACCCGCAGAAGAAGCCCCGGCUAACUUCGUGCCAGCAGCCGCGGUAAUACGAAGGGGGCUAGCGUUGUUCGGAAUUACUGGGCGUAAAGGGCGCGCAGGCGGCCGCUCAAGUCAGGUGUGAAAGCCCCGGGCUCAACCUGGGAACUGCACUUGAUACUGAGUGGCUAGAGUUCGGGAGAGGAGAGUGGAAUUCCCAGUGUAGAGGUGAAAUUCGU